UGUUUUUAUCGAUCUUACAUGAUGAUGAUGUCUGUCUGUGUGUCUACAGCUCUGCUGAGACAGAACCAGCCCGCCAAAGCGUCCAAUCUGGCCCACUGGAUGACUGGAUGAUAAUCAGCUCUAAGGUGCUCCUGGAUUUGACAGACAGAGAGAAGAAUGUUGGGGGGGACACUGCCUUGCACAAAGCAGCCUCAGAGUGCCGUGUCUCGACUGCUGGUGGG